AAAAAUUUUAUUUUGGUUUAAGAAUUUAGUGUUAUUUUUUAUUAUAUGUAAAAUUUUAUUAAAAAAUAUUUAAUGCAGUGAUUGGAUUUAAAUAUUCAAGAAAUUGAGAUUUAGGAAUUAUAAAUGAUAUAAACAAAAUUUGUGCCAGCAGUUGCGGUUAUACAAAUUAUAUAAUUAAAUUUUUUUUAAUUUUAAUUAGUUUUUAUAAAAAUUUUAAAUUAAGAUUUAUUUAGUGAAAUUUUAAAUUUUUAAUUAAAUUUUAAAAUUAAAUGCAUUAAGAAAUUUAUUUUAUAGACUAGGAUUAGAUACCCUAUUAUUAAAAAUGUUAAAGUAAAAUUAAAUUAGUAUUAGUUAUGAUCUUGAAAAUUAAAAAAUUUGGCGGUAUUUUAGUCUUUUCAGAGGAACCUGUUUUAUAAAUGAUAAUCCACGAUUUUAUAAACUUUUUUUAUUAGUUUACAUAUCGUCGUAAUUAAAUAUUUUUAAAAAAUUUAAAUAUUUAAGAUUUUUUUUAAAAAAAAAUUCAGAUCAAGGUGUAGUUUAUUAAAAAAGUAAAAAUGGGUUACAAUAAAUUUAUUUAAGGAUUUAUUAUGUUAUUAUAAUAUUGAAUAUGGAUUUGAUAGUAAUUUUAAUUAAUUAAUUAAAAUGAUUUUAGCUCUAAAAUAUGUACAUAUUGCCCGUCGCUUUCAUUUAAGGUGAAAUAAGUCGUAACAAAGUAGACUUACUGGAAAGUGAGUCUAGACC
rnacentral:ncRNA from 1 species